GACGAACGCUGGCGGCGUGCCUAAUACAUGCAAGUAGAACGCACAGUUUAUACCGUAGCUUGCUACACCAUAGACUGUGAGUUGCGAACGGGUGAGAAACGCGUAGGUAACCUGCCUGGUAGCGGGGGAUAACUAUUGGAAACGAUAGCUAAUACCGCAUAAUAUUGAUUAUUGCAUGAUAAUUGAUUGAAAGAUGCUAUUGCAUCACUACCAGAUGGACCUGCGUUGUAUUAGCUAGUAGGUGAGGUAACGGCUCACCUAGGCGACGAUACAUAGCCGACCUGAGAGGGUGAUCGGCCACACUGGGACUGAGACACGGCCCAGACUCCUACGGGAGGCAGCAGUAGGGAAUCUUCGGCAAUGGACGAAAGUCUGACCGAGCAACGCCGCGUGAGUGAAGAAGGUUUUCGGAUCGUAAAGCUCUGUUGUAAGAGAAGAACGGGUGUGAGAGUGGAAAGUUCACACUGUGACGGUAUCUUACCAGAAAGGGACGGCUAACUACGUG
rnacentral:rRNA from 1 species